rnacentral:antisense_RNA from 1 species
UCCCUCACCAGGGCCGGAAAGACCGGCGGCACGUGCCGGAGCCGGGCGCCCAUCUCCAUCGCAGCAGCCCGUGCCUCCUUGAGCGAGAGCGUUAAAGCGCUCAUAGGAUAUUAGGACGGGGUGGGUAGAAAACCUCAUUCUUCGUGUCUUCUGCCUUGCACUGAGGCGGAUUUUCACUUUUGUCUUAUUUCAGGCAGAAGUUGCCGCCCUAACUUUCAAAUUUGGGGACUGAACAUCGUUCACCAAAUACACUUUGUGAUGUUUUAGGUGAUGAAGUACCUGCUGCCAGAGUUUCCCCUGAAACACACAAAGAAGAGUCUUUUACUUGUGACUCAGUUGUUUCAGGAAUUCUUGACUGUCCAAUGUGCAAGGAUUCAUGUAAGCUGCUUUUCACUUCUUCUUCUGGUCGUUGUGAUUUUGCUGGAGGUUUUGAUACCACUGGACUCUUCUGAAUGGUCUGGACAUCAGUUGGCGAGAGAAAGGCACUGAAGAAAUUUUCAGAUUCAUCGACCACAGUCCUCCGAACUGGCUUUGUGAUUGCUUUAGGAGAGGCUAUUGGUGGACUCUGAGGUUCAGUGUUUGAUUUCAACCCCCAGGUUGAAGUAUCCCAUCCUCCACUGACAGGGGAACUUAUUCCUUUGACAAAAAAGUAAAUAUUAAAAAAGAACACAUAUGUUACAUUAAUAUUUCAAUCAUCAUUAUAAAUCAGUAUAAAUAUAAAUUUAGAAAAAAAUACCCUAUGAAAUACCUGUAAUUUGCACCUGCUAAACUCCUUGCUUACUACAUCAUUAAGUAGUUUCCAAGUUAAUACUGGGACUUAAAGAAGAAAACUGGUGAGGGUCCACCUGAGAGGAAGGAGGAGCACAGACAAAAGACUGGGCCUGGCCUGGACUACCAGAUGCGAGUAUGUUAUUCCUCCCUACAACAAAUUAAGGAAGUAACAGUAUAUGUUUUAUAACCC